rnacentral:tRNA from 2 species
GGGGGCGGUUUGUACCUGGUGGUGCGCCUGGACUUCAAAUCCAGUGGAAGGCAUGGUUGACAUGUCUUCGGUGGGUUCGAUUCCCACACGCUCCCGCCA